rnacentral:rRNA from 1 species
GCCAGACUCCUACGGGAGGCAGCAGUGGGGAAUCUUCCGCAAUGGGCGCAAGCCUGACGGAGCAACGCCGCGUGAAUGAAGAAGGUCUUCGGAUCGUAAAGUUCUGUUCUUAGGGAGGAAGUCUUUUCUUGUGAAUAAUGGGAGAAGGUGACGGUACCUAUGGAGAAAGCUCCGGCUAACUACGUGCCAGCAGCCGCGGUAAUACGCAGGGGGCAAGCGUUAUCCGGAUUUACUGGGUGUAAAGGGGGCGCAGACGGCGAUGCAAGCCAGGAGUGAAAGCCCGGGGCCCAACCCCGGGACUGCUCUUGGAACUGCGUGGCUGGAGUGCAGGAGGGGCAGGCGGAAUUCCUGGUGUAGCGGUGAAAUGCGUAGAUAUCAGGAGGAACACCGGUGGCGAAGGCGGCCUGCUGGACUGCAACUGACGUUGAGGCCCGAAAGCGUGGGGAGCAAACAGGAUUAGAUACCCUAGUA